rnacentral:rRNA from 1 species
GACGAACGCUGGCGGCGUGCUUAACACAUGCAAGUCGAACGGAAAGGCCCUGCUUUUGUGGUGUUCUCGAGUGGCGAUCGGGUGAGUAACACGUGAGUAACCUGCCCUUGACUUUGGUAUAACUUCAGGAAACUGGGGCUAAUACCGGAUAGGAUCUCCUGCUGCAUGGUGGGGGGUGGAUAGUUUCGGCGGUUGGGGAUGGACUCGCGGCUUAUCAGCUUGUUGGUGGGGUAGUGGCUUACCAAGGCUUUGACGGGUAGCCGGCCUGAGAGGGUGACCGGCCACAUUGGGACUGAGAUACGGCCCAGACUCCUACGGGAGGCAGCAGUGGGGAAUAUUGCACAAUGGGCGGAGGCCUGAUGCAGCAACGCCGCGUGCGGGAUGACGGCCUUCGGGUUGAAAAACGCUUUCGCCUGUGACGAAGCGUGAGUGACGGUAAUGGGUAAAGAAGCACCGGCUAACUACGUG